rnacentral:rRNA from 1 species
GAUCCUGGCUCAGAUUGAACGCUGGCGGCAGGCUUAACACAUGCAAGUCGAACGGUAACAGGAGAAAGCUUGCUUUCUUGCUGACGAGUGGCGGACGGGUGAGUAACACGUAAGCAACCUGCCUAUCAGAGGGGAACAACAGUUAGAAAUGACUGCUAAUACCGCAUAUGCCUAAGUAUCACAUGGUACAAUAGGGAAAGAAGCAAUUCGCUGAUAGAUGGGCUUGCG